rnacentral:rRNA from 1 species
UCUACAUUUCAGGUUAAGAAAAUUUGUUUUUAAGGGGGGGGGUUGUCACGAGAUAUCACUACAGGGCUCUAUAUAGUUUUGUGAUUGGAAUGAGUUUAGUGUAUACCCCUCUUCACGUGUCUCUUGGAGGGCACGUCUGGUGUCAGCACACGCGGUAAUUCCAGAUCCAAUAGCGUAUAUUAAAGAUGUGGCACUUAAAAAGCUCUUAGAGGGAUUUCUGUUAAUAUUUUAUAUAUAAUAUUUUAUUAAUAUAUAUAUAGUAUUUUCAUAUUUCAUAUUUCUAUAUUUUAUAGUAUAUGAAAUUUUACUUUGGAGAAAAUUAGAGUGCUUAAAGCAGGGCAUUAGCCUUGAAUACUCCAGCAUGGAAUAAUAUAAAAGAUUUUUAUCUUUUUUAUUGGUUCUAAGAUAAAAAUAAUGAUUAAUAGGGACAGUUGGGGGCAUUUGUAUUUAACAGUCAGAGGUGAAAUUCUUAGAUUUGUUAAAGACAAACUAGUGCGAAAGCAUUUGCCAAGGAUGUUUUCAUUAAUCAAGAACGAAAGUUAGGGGAUCGAAGACGAUCAGAUACCGUCGUAGUCUACCAUAUCUUGCCCCAAGG